GAUGAAGAACGCAGCGAAAUGCGAUAAGUAAUGUGAAUUGCAGAAUUCAGUGAAUCAUCGAAUCUUUGAACGCACAUUGCGCCCGCCAGUAUUCUGGCGGGCAUGCCUGUUCGAGCGUCAUUUCAACCAUCAAGCCCCCGGGCUUGUGUUGGGGACCUGCGGCUGCCGCAGGCCCUGAAAACCAGUGGCGGGCUCGCUAGUCACUCCGAGCGUAGUAGUUACAUCUCGCUCAGGGCGUGCUGCGGGUUCCGGCCGUUAAAAGCCUUUUACCCCAAGGUUGACCUCGGAUCAGGUAGGAAGACCCGCUGAACUUAAGCAUAUCAAUAAGCGGAGGA
rnacentral:misc_RNA from 1 species